rnacentral:tRNA from 1 species
AGGGGCAUAGCUCAGCUGGUAGAGUACCGGUCUCCAAAACCGUGGGUCGUGGGUUCGAAUCCUUCUACCCCUGCCA